UGGGGAAUUUUGGAGCAAUGGCGAAGCUCGAUCCAGCAAUGCCGCGUGUGUGAAGAAGGCCUUCGGGUUGUAAAGCACUUUUGUCCGGAAAGAAAUCCUCUGGGUUAAUACCUCGGGGGGAUGACGGUACCGGAAGAAUAAGCACCGGCUAACUACGUGCCAGCAGCCGCGGUAAUACGUAGGGUGCAAGCGUUAAUCGGAAUUACUGGGCGUAAAGCGUGCGCAGGCGGUUUUGUAAGACGGAUGUGAAAUCCCCGGGCUUAACCUGGGAACUGCAUUCGUGACUGCAAGGCUAGAGUAUGGCAGAGGGGGGUAGAAUUCCACGUGUAGCAGUGAAAUGCGUAGAGAUGUGGAGGAAUACCGAUGGCGAAGGCAGCCCCCUGGGCCAAUACUGACGCUCAUGCACGAAAGCGUGGGGAGCAAACAGGAUUAGAUACCCUGGUAGUCCACGCCCUAAAACGAUGUCAACUAGUUGUUGGGGAUUCAUUUCCUUAGUAACGUAGCUAACGCGUGAAGUUGACCGCCUGGGGAGUACGGUCGCAAGAUUAAAACUCAAAUGAAUUGACGGGGUCAUAGCUGUUUCCU
rnacentral:rRNA from 1 species